rnacentral:rRNA from 1 species
AAUAGCCUAACGGCUGAACCAGCAACUUGGAGGAACAUACGGCAAUAGCUGGUUGCAUUAACAAUUAGUUAUUACAACAUCGACUAUGUCGAAUAAAGUUCUAGGUAGAGUUAUGAUAAUGACAUUUUCUAUCUAUGUGUCUUGACCAAAUCACGUGCCAGCAGUCGCGGUAAUACGUGGAAGACUAGUGUUAUUCAUCUUUAAUUGGUUUAAAGGGUACCUAGACGGUCUAUUAAGCCCCUAAAGGGUACUUACAGACUAGAGUUUGAUGAGAGGGGGGAAGUACGAGAGAGUGUAGAGAUGAAAUUCUGUCAUACCUUACUUGGAACAGGCAACGGCGAAAGCAACUCCUUAUGUAAAAACUGACGUUGAAGGACGAAGGCUUGGGACACCAACAGGAUUAGAUACCCCAGCAGUCCUUGCAGACAAUGAUGAAUGUCAUAGAUUGGAAUUAAAUAUCUUUUUUUUUAAGAUAUCUUUUUGUCUAUAAAUGAAAGUGUAAGCAUUCCACCUCAAGAGUAAUGUGGCAACGCAGAAACUGAAAUCAUUAGACCGUUUCUGAAACCAGUAGUGAAGUAUGUUGUUUAAUUUGGUGGUCCGCAAAACACCUUACCACAAUUUGAAUAUUUUUAUAUUUAUAGAAAUACAAGCGUUGCACGGCUGUCUUCAGUUAAUGUCGUGAGAUUUUGGUUAGUUCCAUAAAAUUAACGUAAACCCUUACUUUAUUUUUAUUAUAGAGUAGUUCACCGCUAUAUUGGAUACGAUAAAAGGGAUCAAGACAAGUCAAUAUGGCCUUAAUAUUGUGGGCUAUAGACGUGCCACAUAGACCUUAACAAAGAGAUGCUAAAUUGCGAAAUUGAGCUAAUCUCAAAAAAUAGGAUAUAACAU